rnacentral:rRNA from 1 species
UGAAGGAAGAAAGGGCAUGCAGAGGAUGCCUAGGUGGCAGGUGGCGAAGAAGGGCGUGGCAAGCUGCGAAAAGCCCGGAGGAGCUGCACGCGAGCGUAGAUACCGGGAUACCCGAAUGGGGCAACCUGCAUGGGAGUAAUCCCAUGCGCGUAAGAGCGAUACCCGGGGAAGUGAAACAUCUCAGUACCCGGAGGAGAAGAAAUCAAACGAGAUUCCCCAAGUAGAGGCGAUCGAACGGGGAGUAGCCUAAACCGAUGAUGAAUCGGGGUAGUGGGACACAGUUAGGCUGAGUCCGCACUGAAUUGAUGCAUAGCUGAACAGUCUGGGAAGGCUGACCGUAGAAGGUGAUAGUCCUGUAAGCGAAAUGCAUUGAGUAAGUGUGACUGUGAUCCCGAGUAGCGCGGGACUCGAGGAAUCCCGCGUGAAUCAGGGGGGACCACCCUCCAAGGCUAAAUACGACCUGCCGACCGAUAGAGAAACCAGUACCGUGAGGGAAAGGUGAAAAGCCCCCCGGAAGGGGAGUGAAAUAGACCUGAAACUGCAUGCCUACAGGAAGUCGGAGCCGGAAACGGUGACGAUGUGCCUUUUGAUUAAUGAGCCUGGGAGUUAUCGCGGCUGGCGAGGUUAAGCCGAUAGAGGUGUAGCCGAAGCGAAAGCGAGUCCGAAAAGGGCGUGGAGUCAGCUGCGACAGACCCGAAGCCGGGUGAGCUACCCAUGGGCAGGAUGAAGGUGAGGUGAAACUCACUGGAGGUCCGAACCGGUGGAUCGUGAAAAAUCCUCGGAUGACUUGUGGGUAGGAGUGAAAAGCUAACCGAACUCGGUGAUAGCUGGUUCUCUCCGAAAUGCAUUGAGGUGCAGCCUUGAUCGUUCUGUGUAGGAGGUAGAGCGCUGGUAGGGCUAGUGGGGUAACCUGCGAACCCUGUCAAACUACGAAUGCCUACACACGAGAGAUCAGGAGUGAGCCCGUAGGGGAUAAGCUCUACGGACAAAAGGGGAACAACCCAGACCGUCGGCUAAGGGCCCGGAGAGGUGGCUAAGUGUGAAGAGGAAGGAAGUGGUACGUCCUAGACAACCGGGAUGUUGGCUUAGAAGCAGCCAUCAUUAAAAGAGUGCGUAACAGCUCACCGGUCGAGACGUGCUGCGCCGAAAAUGUGCGGGGCUGAAGCCACCCCCCGAAGCCACGGAAUCUGAAAAGAUUGGUAGGAGAGCGUUCCGCAGUAGGGAGAAGGUAGACUCGUGAGAGCUACUGGACGAGGCGGAAGUGAGAAUCCAGGCAUGAGUAUACGAAAGGAUGGUGAGAAUCCAUCCCCCCGAAAGCCUAAGGAUACCUGGGGAAGGGUCGUCCGCCCAGGGUGAGUCGGGACCUAAGGAAAACCCGAAAGGGGUAUUCGAUGGAAAACCGGUUAAUAUUCCGGUACCAGUGUAUAACGCAUAUCGUGGGCGGGGACGCAGGAGGUUAAGUGCCGGGGACAAAUGGCAAAUCCCUCCAAGCGGCGAGGUGAUGAGGCUUGUAGGUAAAUCCGCAGGCUGAGCUGAGCCGUGAAGGGGAGGUCUCGAAAGGGGCCAACGGCACCGUGAUCACACUGCCAAGAAAAGCCGCGCACGGUUGUUGUGCACUGCCCGUUCCGAAAACCGACACAGGUAGGCGGGCUGAGAAAGCUAAGGGGAGCGGGAUAACCCUUGCCAAGGAACUCGGCAAAUUGACCUCGUAACUUCGGGAGAAGAGGUGCUACGGAAGGUUGAAUUCAGGGGAAGCCGCGAGGUGGAAACUGAAGGAGGCCGAGGUAGUCGCAGAGGAUAGGCCCUAGCAACUGUUUACCAAAAACACAGGUCUCUGCUAACUCGAUGAGAGGAAGUAUAGGGACUGACGCCUGCCCGGUGCUGGAAGGUUAAGGGGAGGGGUGCAAGCUCCGAACCGAAGCCCCAGUAAACGGCGGCCGUAACUAUAACGGUCCUAAGGUAGCGAAAUUCCUUGUCGGGCAAGUUCCGACCUGCAUGAAUGGCGUAAUGACUGGGGCACUGUCUCGGCAGGGGACCCGGUGAAAUUUCAAUCUGGGUGAAGAUGCCCAGAACCUGCAGCUAGACGGAGAGACCCCGUGGAGCUUUACUGUAACCUGGUAUUGUGCUCUGUUGCGGCGUGUACAGGAUAGGUGGGAGGCGGAGAAGCGUGCUCGCAAGGGUGCGCGGAGCCGACGGUGGGAUACCACCCUCGUCGUAGCGGAGUUCUAACCGAUGUGUGUGAAGAGCGCACAAGGGACAGUGCCAGGAGGGCAGUUUGACUGGGGCGGUCGCCUCCCAAAGAGUAACGGAGGCGUGCAAAGCUCGGCUCAGGUGGGUUGGAAAUCCACCGAUGAGUGCAAGGGCAAAAGCUGGGCUGACUGCGAGACCGACGGGUCGAGCAGAGACGAAAGUCGGUCCUAGUGACCCGGCGACUCCGAGUGGAAGGGUCGUCGAUCAACGGACAAAAGUUACCCCGGGGAUAACAGGCUAGUCUAGCCCGAGAGUUCACAUCGACGGCUAGGCUCGGCACCUCGAUGUCGGCUCAUCCCAUCCUGGGGCUGAAGCAGGUCCCAAGGGUUAGGCUGUUCGCCUAUUAAAGGGGUACGUGAGCUGGGUUCAGACCGUCGUGAGACAGGUCGGUCCCUAUCUGCUGCGGGCGAUAGAGGCUUGAGGAGGGUCGCCCUUUGUACGAGAGGACCAGGGUGAGGGAGCCACUGGUGUACCAGCUGUUCUGCCAAGGGCAUACGCUGGGUAGCUACGCUCCUGAGCGAUAACCGCUGAAAGCAUCUAAGCGGGAAGCGCGCUCCAAGAUGAGGCCUCUUGGGUCGGUUCGAGAAGAGGACCUUGAUAGGCCGAUGGUGGAAGCACAGCGAUGUGUGGAGCCAAGCGGUACUAAUAGACCCGUUACCUUCACCUA